CGUCUGAUCUUUAUUCUUUGUACGUUUAUUACGUUUUCAUCCUUCCAUCCUUCCAGGAGUUCUUCUUCGGUCAAAUCCAUCAAGUCGAUGUCAGAAAUUACGCCUUUGGCCGUAUUCAUGGUUCGGUGUGCUGUUACACUGACGGGGAUGUCUCCAAGUUGUACAAGGAUGGACAAGAACGAGAGUAUGCGGGGUGAUCCCCUUCACAGAUAGCGCAACGGAUGGUGGAAUUGCAAGUGUCGGACGAGUGCUCAUUUGAUGCACAUUUUGCACAAGUAGUGCGCCCUCGGCAACUUUGAGAACCGUGCCCGAACCGCUGACACUUGAAGCAUCGGCGUGGGUUAGGAAUGUAUGGCCUUACACGGAGUUUGCAGUAUCCUGUUUCUAUUGAGUCUGAUUCGGCUGCCCGACACUCCAGGAGGACGUGGAGGACGGUCAGCCUUUCCCCGCAUCUACCGCAGGUUGGAGGAUCAUUUUCAGGUGCAGUACACCGGAUUCCGAGAAGGAUGGACCAAUGGCUGCGUAGGACACCCCGGC
rnacentral:lncRNA from 1 species